AACGAACGCUGGCGGCAGGCUUAACACAUGCAAGUCGGGCGCCCCGCAAGGGGAGCGGCAGACGGGUGAGUAACGCGUGGGAACGUACCCUUUGCUACGGAAUAGCUCCGGGAAACUGGAAUUAAUACCGUAUGUGCCCUACGGGGGAAAGAUUUAUCGGCAAAGGAUCGGCCCGCGUUGGAUUAGCUAGUUGGUGGGGUAAUGGCCUACCAAGGCGACGAUCCAUAGCUGGUCUGAGAGGAUGAUCAGCCACAUUGGGACUGAGACACGGCCCAAACUCCUACGGGAGGCGGCAGUGGGGAAUAUUGGACAAUGGGCGCAAGCCUGAUCCAGCCAUGCCGCGUGAGCGAUGAAGGCCUUAGGGUUGUAAAGCUCUUUCACCGGAGAAGAUAAUGACGGUAUCCGGAGAAGAAGCCCCGGCUAACUUCGUGCCAGCCGCCGCCGUAAGAC
rnacentral:rRNA from 1 species